UACACAUGCAGUCGUGCGAGAAAGGGCUUCGGCCCCAGUAAAGCGGCGCACGGGUGAGUAACACGUAGGUCAUCUACCCCCGAGUGGUGGACAACUCUCCGAAAGGAGGGCUAAUACAGCAUAAGACCACGAGCCUUCGGGCUCGCGGCCAAAGCGGGCCUCUGCAUGCAAGCUCGCGCUUGAGGAUGAGCCUGCGGCCCAUCAGCUAGUUGGUAGGGUAACGGCCUACCAAGGCGGAGACGGGUAGCUGGUCUGAGAGGAUGAACAGCCACACUGGAACUGAGACACGGUCCAGACUCCUACGGGAGGCAGCAGUGGGGAAUCUUGCGCAAUGGGCGAAAGCCUGACGCAGCGACGCCGCGUGAGCGAUGAAGGCCCUCGGGUUGUAAAGCUCUGUGGGGAGGAAAGAAUAAGGACGGGCCAAUACCCCGUCCGAUGACGGUACCUCCAUAGCAAGCACCGGCUAACUCUGUGCCAGCAGCCGCGGUAAGACAGAGGGUGCAAACGUUGUUCGGAAUUACUGGGCGUAAAGCGCGUGUAGGCGGCAUGCAAGUCGGGUGUGA
rnacentral:rRNA from 1 species